UACGGAGGGUGCAAGCGUUGUUCGGAAUUACUGGGCGUAAAGCGUGUGUAGGCGGCGACUGUAAGUCGGGUGUGAAAUCCCUGGGCUCAACCCAGGAACUGCGCCCGAUACUGCGGCGCUAGAAUCCGGGAGAGGGGUGUGGAAUUCCUGGUGUAGGAGUGAAAUCCGUAGAGAUCAGGAGGAACACUCGUGGCGAAGGCGACACCCUGGACCGUGAUUGACGCUGAGACACGAAAGCGUGGGGAGCAAACAGG
rnacentral:rRNA from 1 species